GUAUUUUCUGCAAGUCAUGCUGCCUCAACAAGAAAGUGGUUUCAAGCAUGAUAUUCCUGAACAAAAGACAGAUUGGUACAAAAACAGCUUCCUGCAGUUAAGGGUAAUGAAAUUUUGAGUGGAUAUAUCUCUGAUUUCCACAGUAAAAGA